GCCGGGGUGGCGAAAUUGGUAGACGCAUCAGACUCAAAAUCUGACGGGGGCGACCCCAUGCCGGUUCGAGUCCGGCUCCCGGUACCA
rnacentral:tRNA from 1 species